UAUGACCUCUAUAAAUAUACUUUUCUCAUCUUCGUCCAAAAUUCAAAAUUCUUUCAUUUCUGUUCUCCUUUUAUCAAAUUUAUACACUCUUUUUUCGUUUCCAUUCUUCAAACUUCACUUUCCAGCUCAAAACAUUGUUUAGUUUCCUCACUUGCUCAAAAACCAACAGAGAGUCUCAUCAUCGUAAAAGAUAUUGGAGAAAAGAUGAUCGAUAAGAGAUCCAUUUUGCAGCUGAGGGCAUUGAAACAACAUGAACAUUAUGGUAGGUACGUGUCUUACAGUCCAGAUCCACCUUUCGCUUAAUUCGUGCAAGAGACUAAAAUUAUAGAUGGUACCUUUGUGGAAUGAUGUAUGUAAUAGAUGUAUGUAUAAGGUUGUUAUUAUGUGUGUGUUAGAUUAGAUGUAUGCAUAGGGUUAGAUAAUCUGAGAAUGAAUAAUGUAUGUAAUAGAUGAAUGUUUAGGUUUAUUAGUAUGUGUGUGUGUGUUAGAUGUGUGUAUAUAUAUAUAUAUGGUGAGAGAAUGGAUGAUGUGUAAUAGUAGAUGUGUAUGUGUAGGAUAUUUUUAUUAUGUGUGUGUGGUGAGAGAAUUAAUGAUGUAUGUUUAGGGUUAUUAUUAUGUCUGUUAGAUGUGUAUGUAUAGGGUGAGAGAAUGAAUGUAAUAGAUGUAUGUGUAGGGUUAUUA